rnacentral:rRNA from 1 species
UACAGAGGUCUCAAGCGUUGUUCGGAUUCAUUGGGCGUAAAGGGUGUGUAGGUGGCGCCGUAAGUCGGGUGUGAAAUUUCGGAGCUUAACUCCGAAACUGCAUUCGAUACUGCGGUGCUUGAGGACUGGAGAGGAGACUGGAAUUCAUGGUGUAGCAGUGAAAUGCGUAGAGAUCAAGUGGAACACCAGUGGCGAAGGCGAGUCCCUGGACAACUCCUGACACUGAGGCACGAAAGCUAGGGGAGCAAACAGG